rnacentral:lncRNA from 1 species
GAACAGGGUGGAAACAGACAAGUUGUUAGAGAAAAAAAAUAAUUGUGUGAAUAUUGGAAACAAAUUUAGUUGAAAAAAAUGAAUUGGUAGAAAGCAGGUUAUAGUGAAAAAUUCUAGAAGGCUUGGGAAGACAAGAGAAGGAAGGAUGAAAGUCAAAGAAUAAAGAUUACAGUUUAGCAAAGAGAGACAUGAGCCAUAUCAGACUGUGGAAAGCAAGGCUCUGGAUGUCAGGAUGAAACAUAAUCAAAGCAAGCAUGAAGAGUUCUGAACUUGUCAGAGUGACAAAGGGCUUUGUAGAUUGUAAUAAAGAUAGCACAGGUCAUGCUGGAUAAAAAGCAAAAGCAUACGAAAGUUCUGGAGAAUCUCAGUUGAAAUUAGCCACUCUCUCAGUGCACUGUCACAACAGGGUAAAUUAUGUUGUAUUUAGUUGAUAAUCAACUUUUACUGGAUCAAGAAUUUGAAAUCAGCAAUGUUGAUUAAAUGGACUUGUAGUUUUUUGCCUUUAUCCUGUGAGACCUGGAAACUGAGGAAUGUCAUUGUCUAAUUUUUGUCUUUCCUUUUAAGUUGGAUCUGACUAUAACUUACCUCUUGCUAGAAAACAGUGUUUCUUUAACUGAAAGAGAUGAUAGGAGUGGAAGUUAAAAACAGUGCUUUAGAGCCAAACUCUUUGAUUUAGAAGACUAGCUUUGACACCUACAAAUCAUGCAGCUCUUAGUAUCUUUAGAAUAGAUACUCAAACUCUAUCUCAUUAAAUCUAUAAAAACAUGAACAAUAAUAUUGAGUUGUGUGAGGAGUAAAUCAUGUGGUAUAUAGCUUUGUCAGAUUUAGCAAAGAAGUAAACUAAAACUCAGUUAAAUUUGAAUUUCAGAUAAACAUCCUAAAUAUAUUUGUAUGAGUAACAAUUAGUAAAAGGCAUCAUUAUACAAAAUCUAUUCAUUAUUUAUCUGAAAUUGAAAAUUCAGCUUUCUUUCAUAUUUUAUUUUUUAUUUCCUAUGCUUUAUCUGACAACUCUAAAAUAUAUAAGGGAUUGAACCCACAACCUCAUGGUUCCUAGUCAGAUUCGUUUCUGCAACACCACAAUGGGAACUCCAGAAAAUAAAUUUUAAUAUUAAGAUCUUCAGCAGUUGCUUCCUAGUGAUGGCAAUGAUAAUGAUAAUGAGAAUCUGCUAAUGUUAAAAAUCUACACAAUUUAUUGAACAAGUAUAGCAAUGAAGAAGGAAACAUAUUUGAAAUGUAAAAAACUGAACCUGAGAGUUCCUGGCUACUUUUAUAUUUAUCUUAUUAUAAAAGUUAGUUGAUUUACAACAUUGGCCCAAUUUUCCCUGUAUAGAAAUUGACUCAGUUUUACAUAUGUAUACAUCAUUUUUUAUUUUUUAAAUUUUUUAUUAGAGUAUAGUUGAUUUACAGUUUUGUGUCAAUUUCUGUUCUACAGCACUGUGAUCCAGUCAUAUAUAUAUUCUUUUUCUCAUACUAUCUUCCAUCAUGUUCUAUCCCAAGAGACUUGAUAUAGUUCCCUGUGUUGUACAGUAAGACCUCAUUGCUUAUCCAUUCUAAAUGUAAUAGUUUGCAUCUACUAACUCCAAACUCCCAGUCAUCCCUCUUCCUCUCAUUUCCCCCUUGGUAACCACAAAUCUGUUCUCUAUGUCUGUGAGUCUGUUUCAUAAUAGGUUCAUUUGUGCCAUAUUUUAGACUCUACAUAUAAGUGAUAUCAUAUGGUAUUUGUCUUUUUCUGACUUACUUUACUUAGUAUGAGAAUCUCCAGUUUCAUCCAUGCUGCAAAUGGCAUUGUUUUGUUCUUUUUUACAGCUAAAUAGUAUUCCAUUGCAUAUAUGCACCACAUCUUCUUAAUCCAUUCAUCAUUGAUGGACAUUUAGGUUAUUUCCAUGGCUUGGCUAUUGUGAAUAGUGCUGCUAUGAAUAUAAGUGUACAUGUAUUUUUUUAAAUUAUAGUUUUAUCUAGAUAUAUGCAUAGGACUGGGAUUGCUAGAUCAUAUAGUAGUUCUGUAUUUAGUUUUCUGAGGAACUGCUGCACUGUUUUCCACAGUGGUUGUACCAACUUACAUUCCUAACAACAGCAUGGGAGGAUUCCCUUUUCUCUAUACCCUCUUCAGCAUUUGUUAUUUGUACACUUAUUAAUGAUGACCAUUCUGACCAGUAUGAGGUGGUAUUUCAUUGUAGUUUUAAUUUGCACUUCUCUAAUAAUUAGUGAUAUUGAGCAUCUUUUCAUGUGCCUAUUGGCCAUCUAUAUGUAUUCUCUGGAAAAAUGUCUAUUUAGGUCUUCAGCCCAUUUUUCAAUUGGGUUGUUUGUUUUUGUUGUUGUUGAGGUUAUUUGUAUAUUUUGGAGAUUAAGCGCUUGUCAGUUGCAUCAUUUACGGGUGUUUUUGCCCAUUGUGUAGGCUGUCUUUUCUUCUUUAAUGGUUUCCUUUGAUGUGAGAGCUUACAAAUUUGAUAAAGUCCCAUUUGAUAAAGUCCAAUUUGUUUAUUUUUAUUUCUAUUGCCUUAGAAGACUGACCUAAGAAAAAAUUUGUAUGAUUUAUGUCAGAGAUUUUUUUUCCCUAUGUUCUUUUCUAGGAAUUUAUGGUGUCAUGUCUUAUGUUUAAGUCUUUAGGCCAUUUUGAGGGUUUUUGGGCAUGGUGUGUGGGUGUGUUCUAGUUUCAUUGAUUUCAAUGCAGCUGUCCAAUUUUCCAAGGACCACUUGAUAAAGAGACUGUCAUUUCCCCAUUUUAUAUUCUUGUAUCCUUUUUCAAAGAUUAAUUCACUAUAGGUAUCUGUGUUUAUUUCUGGACUCUAUUCUCUUCCAUUGAUCUGUAUUUCUGUUUUUGUACCAAUACCAUAAUGUUUUGAUUACCCUUAACUUUGGAUAUAAUAUUGUAUGAAGUCUGGGAGAGUUAUGCCUCCUGCCUGCUUUUUGUUUGGUGUGUGUGUGUGUGUGUGUGUGUGUGUGUGUGUGUGUGUGUGUGUGUGCUUUCCUCCUCAGAACUGCUUCGAAAAUUCUGGGGUCUUUCAUGGUUCCAUAUAAAUUUUGGAUUAUUUGUUCUAGUUUUGUGAAAAAUGUUGUAGGUAACUUGAUAAAGAUCACAUUAAAUAUGUAGAUUGCUUUGGAUAGUAUGGCCAUUCUAACAAUAAGAAUUCUUCCAAUCUGUAUCUUUUUCUUUCUUUGAAUUCUCUUUAAUUUCCUGGAUUAAUAAUUUAUAGUUCUCAGUGUAUGUCUUUUCCCCCUUGGUCAGGUUUAUUCCUAGUUAUUUAAUUUUUUGCGUACAGUUUCAAAAGGUAUUAUUUUUUAUAUUCCUUUUCUAAUAUUUCAUUGCUAGUAUACAGAAUUACAACAGAUUCCUGAAUGUCAAUCUUGUAUCCCUGCUACUUUGUGAAUUCAUUUGCAGUUCAAGUAGGUUUUGUGUGAAGUCCUUGGGAUUUUCUACGUAUAGUAAGUAUCAUGUCAUUUGCAUAUAGUGACAAUUUUACUACUUCUGUUCCAAUUUGGAUAACUUUUAUUUAUUUUAUCACCUGAUUGCUGUGGCUAGGACUUCCAAUACUAUGUUGGUGAGAGUGGGCUUGUAUUAUGUUGAGAUACGUUCCCUCUGUAUCCACUUUGGUAAGAGUUUUUAUCGUGAAAGGAUGUUAAAUUUUGUCAAAUGCUCUUUCUGCAUCUAUUGAGAUGAUCAUGUGGCUUUUGAAUUUUCUUUUGUUAAUGUGGUGUAUGACAUUGACUUGUGCAUGUUGAAUCAUUCUUGUGAACUUGGGAUGAAUCCCACUUGGUAUUGGUGAAUUAUCUUUUUGAUAUGUUAUUGGAUUCUUUUGGCUAAAAUUUUGUUGAGGAUAUUUACACCUAUAAUCAUCAAAUAUAUUGGCCUAUAAUUUUCUUUUUUUUGGUAGUAUCCUUGUCUGGUUUUAGUAUUAGGGUGUUGGCAGCUUCAUUGAAUAUCUUUGUGAGUGUUCCUUCUUCAUUCUUUUAGAAGAGUUUAAGAAAGAUUGGUAUAAGUUCUUUGUAUAUUUGGUAGAAUUUGCCUGUGAAGCCAUCUGGUCCUGGGCUUUUGUUUGUAGGGAUUUUUUAAAUUACAUAAUUCAAUGUCAUUUCUAGUGAUCAUACUGUUCAAAUUAUCUAUUUCUUCUUGAUUCAGUUUUGGUGGUUUGUGUGUUUCUAGAAAGUUUCCAUUUCUUCUAGGUUGUCAAAUUUGUUGCCAUAUUAUUGUUCAUAUAGUAUUAUGUUUUUGUUUUUUUAUAUUUCUGUAGUAUCCAUUGAGAUUUCUCCAUUUUUGUUUCUUAUUUUGUUUAUUUGGGUUUUCUGUUCUGGCUACUUCUAAAUUCAAUGCCAAUGGGUUUUAGAGAAAAGCGACAAGAAAUAAAGUUUGUAUUUUUUUUCUCUUUUCCUUCAUCAUUAUUCUUCUUUUGGCUUUAUUACUGAAACUCAAUAUUUUUGUCUCAUUUGAACAUGAUGCAAAAUCCACUAAUAUGCAAGAAAUUAAGUGAUGCUGGAUCAAAGUAAUCAUAAUUUUAUAAGCGAUUCUUAAAUAUUAAAAGUGUUCCAUACUCAAAGAAAGGAAUUGCUGUUGGUGCAAAACAAACAGGAAUUUUAGGCCUGAAAAACUGGCCUAUCCUUUUUGAGUUGCGUAAGAUGUGUUUAUAAGUGUCAUGUAAAAGUCUAGCUAAUUACUAGAUUCUUCCUUUAAAAAGUAAAAGAAUGAUAUCCUGCAUCAAGUUGAACCAGCUUUAUUUUUUUAAUUCCUUCAAAUAAUAUUUCACUUUGUUUUUAUAGACACAAUCCCUAUUUUUUUUUUCUCUAAGAUCAUUCAAUGGUAUUAUUUCAAAUUUAUACAGAGAUAUUAUAGUGUAGGGAAGUGACUUUGAUGAUGAUUACCCAGCUUGAGCCAAGAAUUCAGCUAAGUUCUAAUGUCAAUAAGACAUUGUCAAUAAGCCUUUUCUCUAUAGAUACACUGCAACAACAGAAGAUGUAAUAGUUUAUUAGUAGGCCACUAAUUUGCUCAAGUAAAGAAGUAACAUAGCAUGCCCCUAGUCACAGAAGAUAAUAACAUAUAUAAUCUAUAUCUUCUUAUGGCUUCCAAGGGCAGAUAUCAGUGGAAUACCCUAAGUAUUUGUUAGGUUCCUACUAUAUUAGAUUUGAGGAAUUAAAAAAAAAAAAAACGAAAACUCUGGAACUCACCCUUAAUGACUAUACAAUAUAGUGGGGAAAAGAAAAGUUGAAAAAAGCUAUAAGACAAUUUAAGUGCCCUUAAAUUGUGCCUUGGGGAAUCAGAGAUCACAUUUAAAAUACUUGACACCACAAUGAAAAAUUCAUACUGAAAAAUAAUUGAUACUUAUUUACCAGACCAAUGAUCUUACUGUGGGUUUCAGUGGAGACAAUUACAAGUGACAAUCAUUGGUUUAGUUUUAGAGCCUGUGCAGUGACAGCACACAGUGGGUAUUCAGUUAGCAAGUAUUAAAUUUCUAAAAGAAUCCAUGAAUCAUAGGACAGUAAUGGACCUCACUUAGCUAUUAUGGUAGCAGAGAGUGUAUACAAUUCAUUUUUCUUGACACUAACAAAGUGUCCUUUUACAUUCCUGAGCAGUCACUAAAAUGUAUAAAACUACUCUGGUUGAUUAUUUAGAGUUCUCACAACCUGUUCUCUUCUAUUUUUAAGUAUGCAGUAAUUUAUGUUAAAAAGGGAAAGGAAAUUUUUUAAAAAUAUAGCUUGUCACUUUUUUUUUUAUUUUGGCAUAGUUUGUCUAAAGGGCAAAAUAUGACCAUACUUUUUUUUUAUUUUGUAAAUAAUUUAUUGAUUUAUUAUGGCUGUUGGGCUUUAUGUAAAAUGCUAGUUGGUAUUAACUCAUAGACUCAUCAUAACUCUUAGUAAUUACUUAUACCUAAGAUUCUACAGAUAAGGAAACUGAUGUUUAGAGAGGUUAACUAACAUAACUAGAAAGUUAGGAUUUGAAAUUGGUCUCAAGCUGGUGGACUCUAACAGAAAACCCAAGAUCUUAAUUACUUUGUAUCACCAUGUUAAAAAGAAUGUAAUUUAAAAUAUUUAUAGGAGUUCCCAUCAUGGUGCAGUGGUUAAUGAAUCCGACUAGGAACCAUGAGGUUGAGGGUUCGAUCCCUGGCCUUGCUCAGUGGGUUAAGGAUCCAGCAUUGCCAUGAGCUGUGGUGUAGGUUGCAGACGCGGCUCAGAUCCCGCGUUGCUGUGGCUCUGGCGUAAGCCGGUGGCUACAGCUGCGAUUAGACCCAUAGCCUGGGAACCUCCAUAUGCUGC